AGAUUGAACGCUGGCGGCAUGCCUUACACAUGCAAGUCGAACGGCAGCACGGGAGCAAUCCUGGUGGCGAGUGGCGAACGGGUGAGUAAUACAUCGGAACGUGCCCAAUCGUGGGGGAUAACGCAGCGAAAGCUGUGCUAAUACCGCAUACGCCCUACGGGGGAAAGGGGGGAUCGCAAGACCUCUCACUAUUGGAGCGGCCGAUAUCAGAUUAGCUAGUUGGUGAGGUAAAGGCUCGCAAGGCGACGAUCUGUAGCUGGUUUGAGAGGACGACCAGCCACACUGGACUGAGACACGGCCAGACUCCACGGGAGCAGCAGUGGGAAUUUGGACAAGUGGGGGAAACCUGACUCCAGCCAUCCCGCGUGUGCGAUGAAGGCCGUUACGGUUAGUAACGCUACGUUUGGACGAGGAAGAAACGGCGUACG
rnacentral:rRNA from 1 species